rnacentral:lncRNA from 1 species
CUUCUGUGAGUCUACACUUUCAUUAAGAAAAGAGAGUACCCACAAAGCAAGAUGACAACUUUGUUCAUGUUAAACUGUUGCAGUUCAGAUGUGCCACUCUCAGCCUCCCUUCAGCAGGAUGCAGUUAACAACCAUGCUGACAAGGAGCGUUGGAGUUGCGGGAAGUACUCUGCGGUGCAGCCUUGGAGCACACUGCUUCCUGCAGUGCAAGAGGCACACAGCCAGCAGGCAGAUGGAAAGAGCGGGAACGAUGAGGCGAGAAGCGAGAGCGGCGGGAAGCGAAAACGGCGGGAAGAGAGAGACACGUUCUGCGCUCCUAUUGGCUGGCGGGCGGCGGGGACACCUAUAUAAGGCUCACGGGGAAAUGCAAACUCCUUACAGCGUGACAGGAAUCCCACUGCUCUGAGGAAAAGACGGCAAGCGGCAUCCCGGGCUGAGGAGCUCCCGCAGAAGACGGCGGAAGAAGCCACGUGUGGAACUGGGCGGCAGGAGGAUGCAAGCAGAGGGAGCAAGAAGAGGAAGCAGAAGACUGCGGCUGGGCUAAGGGAGAGGCGGCCUGGGCAAAAGCAUCUCCCUGUCACCAGGGGCAUAGUCAUGUCGCAGUAGAGCGUUGCCGGCACUUUAGGUGACCAGGCCGGCUUUGUGCUGGG